rnacentral:rRNA from 1 species
CCUACGGGCGGCAGCAGUGAGGAAUAUUGGUCAAUGGGCGAGAGCCUGAACCAGCCAAGUCGCGUGAAGGAUGACGGCCCUACGGGUUGUAAACUUCUUUUGUCAGGGAGCAAUUGGGUCCACGCGUGGGCUUAGCGAGAGUACCUGAAGAAAAAGCAUCGGCUAACUCCGUGCCAGCAGCCGCGGUAAUACGGAGGCGGCGAGCGUUAUCCGGAUUUAUUGGGUUUAAAGGGUGCGUAGGCGGAAUAUCAAGUCAGCGGUAAAAAUUCGGGGCUCAACCCCGUCGUGCCGUUGAAACUGAUGGUCUUGAGUGGGCGAGAAGUAUGCGGAAUGCGUGGUGUAGCGGUGAAAUGCAUAGAUAUCACGCAGAACUCCGAUUGCGAAGGCAGCAUACCGGCGCCCAACUGACGCUGAAGCACGAAAGCGUGGGUAUCGAACAGGAUUAGAUACCCGGGUAGUC